UUACUUUUAUUUGUUUGUCCUAUGAUUGUAUAACUCAUGUUAUACGUGGGUAGAUAAUGUUGCACAUGCAAUUAAAAAAGUUUUUAUUUUAUAUAUAUAUAUAUAUAUAUAUGGGGUUUGUUAACACGCGUACGCCUGUUUUUCAGUUGGUACGUUUUAACAAUGUGUACCGGAUUAUAGUAGACAAAAAUACCCUCAUUUAUUAUGGAUUCUAAGUUUUAAGGUCAAGGAUAUUUAAAUAAUUUUCAUUCUCAAAACUAAAAAAAAAAAAAAGAAACCCCCAUACCCUUACUCACCUCCCUCAUUCCUCUCAACCCUUUAUCUUUCAUCUCUCUCACUCCAACAUUUUCUCUGUCAUCCCUAUUGCCCUAAUUGAAAAAAAAUAAAUCAGAAACUCUUGCCUAACCCUUGUCCUUUUCCCUUUACACAAAGUGUUUCUUUUUCCUUUCUCUAUUGGUAUGGAAUACAUGAUGUAAGAUUACAACCUAGAAU
rnacentral:lncRNA from 1 species